rnacentral:rRNA from 1 species
AUUGAACGCUGGCGGCAUGCUUUACACAUGCAAGUCGGACGGCAGCACAGAGAAGCUUGCUUCUUGGGUGGCGAGUGGCGAACGGGUGAGUAACAUAUCGGAACGUACCGAGCAGUGGGGGAUAACUAAUCGAAAGAUUAGCUAAUACCGCAUAUAUUCUGAGGAAGAAAGCAGGGGACCAUUUGGCCUUGCGCUGUUUGAGCGGCCGAUAUCUGAUUAGCUGGUUGGUGGGGUAAAGGCCUACCAAGGCGACGAUCAGUAGCGGGUCUGAGAGGAUGAUCCGCCACACUGGGACUGAGACACGGCCCAGACUCCUACGGGAGGCAGCAGUGGGGAAUUUUGGACAAUGGGCGCAAGCCUGAUCCAGCCAUGCCGCGUGUCUGAAGAAGGCCUUCGGGUUGUAAAGGACUUUUGUCAGGGAAGAAAAGGAUAGGGUUAAUACCCCUGUCUGAUGACGUACCUGAAGAAUAAGCACC